GGCAAUCUGAAUUUGAGUUGGGAUUUUUUGUGUACUUUUCACCCUUGAGGUUAUUGUUUCUUCCUAAUUUAUAUUUCAGAUACAUAGUGUAGAACAGGAAUUUGCAGAAGCCAUUUAAGUUAUCUUUUGAGGUAAGCUCUGAUUUAGCAUUUAUUCUGAUAAAACCUAAUACAUCAUGGGAUAUAUAUAAAGCAACUUAAUUCUUGUGGUGUAGUCUUAAUAGUUUUGAAUGUUGACUGAAUGUCUAUGAAAUUGUGAGUUUGUCUUUGUUACAUUCCAGUGUUUCUGCCUCUUGGCAUGCUUAAAGCACGGCUUACUUCAUCUGCUCCUUACACACUAAAAUGCUGUUAGUGUGCUCAACUACAGAAAUAGCCGCUGCUAAGUGAUGUAGAUUUUCUACUUGAAUAUUUUUAUGUUGUAGGAACCUCAGGAGGUCAGUGUUUACUGUUUUAUAUAUGCCUUCUUUUUCCUGUUUGAGCUUCUCUCUUUGAAGGAUUCUAACAGAACAAAGCUGCUGAUCAACCUAAGUUGGAAACAGAAAGUGUAAUUAAUAUAACUUAAAUGCAUGUUUGGCAGUUCCGUGUUACAGUCCAUUAGCGAGUGAACUUAGUGCCACAGGUAUUCAUUUAUUCAGGAAAGAAUUUUGCUUUUUGUAUUGUCUAAUCUCUUCAAUGACUUCAUACUGUGUAAAAAAAAAAAAUCACUUUUUUAUAUUUUUUGGUUGGUUAUUUCCCAAAUAAUCAACAUGUAAAUAAUCUUUUAAGAGCCAGUUCUGAUGCUUUACAUUAUUGCUACUUGAUUUUGUUACGCAAGUUAGAUUUCAGAAGAAUAGAUUUUAAAACACUUAACCAAGCCAUUACAUCUUAAAAACAAAACAAGUAGCAUACAUUUUGUAAUUAACAUUGAUAAACACUGUGAUUUUUUUGGUUAAGACUUUUUCAUUGAUCUGAAUUGCUUAAAUUGCAUAUAUUGUAAAAUAGGAUCAGAUGUAUAUUUUAAACUAAUUUCAAUGGAUUUUCCUCUUGAAAUGCUGUGUCUACUCAGUUAUAAAAUAUUCAGAUACAAGUUUUAUCUCAGGUGAAUACUCUUGUAUUGUUUUUGCUUUGGUGACAUGCUUAUAAAGGGUCAUCUUAGUUACAUUCUUUGUUUUUUAGUGUAUUUCAUUGAGAAUCUUUCCAUUUAGUCUGAUUUUUUUCCUAAUAUUCUAGCAGGCUGGGGUGGUAUAAAGCCCUCCUGACAAGCCUUUUGCGUACAGGUUUACCUGAAAAUGAGCUACAUACGGUCGUCAUUUUCUUCCAACUCUCAAAAUAGGAAAGUGGAAAUUUUUCUCCCCUAUAUAUAAUUAUUCUGCCUAGCAGAAAUGCCAGAAAUAAAUUAAUUACAUCUUAAACUCUUAGUCUAAAUUUAAGUCCUUUGCCAUGAGGGAAAAGUGGUUUUUUGCUUCAUAUUAUUCAUAUUGAAUGUAUUAACAUAAUGGUGCAAAAGCAUUCUUCCCAGGGGAAGAGUGUAUCAUGCAUAACUGCAAUUUAAGUCCUUCCUUUGAUAAUACUUUAAAACACACACAGCUUUGCUUACUGAAUUAUUUUUGCAAAUAAUACAAGGUGGGGAAACUAACUGUUGCUACUAGUGUUGUUAAUGAAGUAUAGGCCUUGGAACAUUUAAGAAAACUGGUCUUAAGAUAGUUAAGGGCCUGGGAUAAUCUAAGUGAAAAGUCAGAUCAGUAAUGAGCUGUGUUAACAAUAUUAUCUGGUAAUAAUACCAUGCAAUAUAGCAUUGUAUACCAACUUAGUGCAUUUUAUACUGUAUUAAAUAUGGAGAUACUUCUAAUGCCUCUCUAAAAUUAGAUUUUACAUAAAAGUUAGUUUUAUUCACCUUUAGGCUUUCCAAGUGAGUUGUGACUAAUUUUUUCAAUCUUACAUAGAUCUUUCACCCAUUAGCAUUACUUACGUAGAUAAUUCUUUAUGCCUAGUUAUUAUACAUAUUAAUUUUUAAGGUAUACAUUUAAAUUACACAAUUGUUCAUUGUGAUUUGUAUCCCAGAAUGUAUUGUGUUUUUUAAAAGAUGCAUAAUAGCUGAAUGUAUGCAUGACUUUGAAAGAAGUUAAAAUGGUGAUUUUUUUUCACAUCUUGUACAUUUUAAAACCAGGCCAAAUCUAUUUGCCAAGCAAUGUAUCACUAAUAAGAAAAGCAGUUUUUCCUUUUAUUGCAGUUUUUGUUUAUCUACCAUAGAAUUUCCUUAUACUGUGGCUUGGUAUUAUUCAAGGUUAGCUAUUUCGCUGGUAUUACAUCUUUUUAAAAGCCUGUUAUAACAUGGUUAGCCUGUAAGGCAGUGUUGGUCCCCUUCUAAUAUCGGCCUCAUAAAGGGGUUCCACUGUACUUUCCGCAUAUUACUUUGUUGUUGUUUUCCUUUAUGGAUAUAUAAGCACAUUGAGCUUGGGUGAUUUUUAUGGAGACAAUAAUUAGACAAUACUGUAUAAUUAGUUUUACUUAAUAGAUUAUCAUCUUGUGAGAAGAGAUGUUUAAACGUGGUAAAUCACUUCAUAUUACAAAACAGUUUUACACUUAAUAUGUUAACAUUGGGUGCAAUAAUUUAGUAGCAUUAGCUUUAGUUAUAAAUAACUGGAUCUUUCUGCUGACAACUUAGGUUGUAUGAGUUAUGCUUAAAAGCUUUAAAUCUUGUUUCCUGUACCUGCCACACUAUGUUAGAAUGUGUCCUUCAAACAUAUCCUCCUGCAACUUCUCAAACUGUACUAAAUUGAUAUUUCUUGAAGUCUAACUCUGUGCUAACAGAUCUCCAUUUUAAAUAGAACACGGUUUUAAUUUUUGAUAAGCUGCUGAAUUUUAAAGAGAGUUUUUUGGGGCCACCAAAUAUUUUGGAUCAUGCAGAGAAUAUAUAUUGUACUGUAGUAAUUUUGUAUUUACAUUUGUAUGAUGUGACAUAAUAGAUGUGAAUGUUAAUCACUGCUUGACUAUGUUAAUAAAGUUGUUU
rnacentral:lncRNA from 1 species